AGGACUAACGCUGGCGGCGUGCCUAACACAUGCAAGUCGAACGGGGUAGCAAUACCCAGUGGCAGACGGGUGAGUAACACGUGGUCAACCUACCUCUGUGUGGGGGAUAACUAGCCGAAAGGUUAGCUAAUACCGCAUACGAUCGUUUUGAGGCAUCUCGAGACGAUGAAAGGAGCAAUCCGCACGGAGAGGGGACUGCGUCCCAUUAGUUAGUUGGUGGGGUAACGGCCUACCAAGACUCCGAUGGGUAGCUGGCUUGAGAGAGCGACCAGCCACACUGGAACUGAGAAACGGUCCAGACUCCUACGGGAGGCAGCAGUGAGGAAUUUUCCGCAAUGGGCGAAAGCCUGACGGAGCGACGCCGCGUGUGGGAUGAAGGCCUUCGGGUCGUAAACCACUGUCGAAGGGGACGAUAAUGACGGUACCCUUGGAGGAAGCCCCGGCUAACUACGCGCCAGCAGCCGC
rnacentral:rRNA from 1 species